UACCCGCUGGAUUUAAGCAUAUCAGUAAGCGGAGGAAAAGAAACUAACAAGGAUUGCCUCAGUAGCGGCGAGUGAAGAGGCAAAAGCUCAAAGUGAAAAUCUGCGGCGUUUCGUCACAGAAUUGUAAUCUAAAGAAUUUUGCAGAAGAAAUCAAUCCCGCAUAAUUGCCUGGAAUGGUAAAGCAAAGAGGGUGACACUCCCGUGUUUGGCGAGGAUUGAUUCGUAUGCAGGGUUUCUAAGAGUCGGGUUGUUUGGGAUUGCAGCCCUAAAUGGGAGAUAAACUUCUUCUAAGGCUAAAUAUUUAUGGGAGACCGAUAGCGAACAAGUACUGCGAAGGAAAGAUGAAAAGAACUUUGGAAAGAGGGUGAAAAGACUUGAAAUCGUUGAAAAGGAAGCGGUAGAAGAAAAUGAUUUGGAUAUGGAGUUUACUCUAAGGACGCCGGCUUGGUUAGUGUGGAGUGCUUUAUAGGCUUGCAUUGGCUAACGUAACGGAGUCCUGGAAGUAUUUUCAUGUCCAAGAGACAAAAUGAGGUUACCAUUGCGAGAAACACUAGGUGAGCAGACCCUGAUUUAUCAGGAGCUUGUUUAGAAUAUCGCAACGUUAGCCUGAGGGGCCUUAGUGGCGAUUUUGUCAAAAUGGCUUCUACCGGCCCGUCUUGAAACACGGACCAAGGAGUCUAACACGUAUGUGAGUUUGCGGGUGGAAAAACCCAUAAGCGAAAUGAAAGUGAGAAUAAGAUGGGAUGUCGAAAGACAGCAACAUCAGCCGACCCUGAUCCUCCGGUGAAGGGUUUGAGCGAGAGCAUACUUGUUAGGACCCGAAAGAUGGUGAACUAUACUUGAGUAGGGUGAAGCCAGGGGAAACUCUGGUGGAAGCUCGUAGCGGUACUGACGUGCAAAUCGUUCGUCAAACUUGAGUAUAGGGGCGAUAGACUAAUCGAACCAUCUAGUAGCUGGUUCCCUCUGAAGUUCCUCUCAGGAUAGCAGGAACAAGGUGCAGUUUUAUCAGGUAAAGCGAAUGAUUAGAGGAAUUGGGGUUCCAAGAGCCUCGACCUAUUCUCAAACUUUAAAUUGGUAAGAACCGUCAGUUUUCUUAAUUGAACUGAAGGAAGGAAUGCAUUGUUCCUAGUGGGCCAUUUUUGGUAAGCAGAACUGGCGAUGAGGGAUGAACCUAACGCUAAGUUAAGGCGCCUAAAUCCUCGCUCAUCAGACACCACAAAAGGUGUUGAUUCAUAUAGACAGCAGGACGGUGGCCAUGGAAGUCGGAAUCCGCUAAGGAGUGUGUAACAACUCACCUGCCGAAUGAAUUAGCCCUGAAAAUGGAUGGCGCUGAAGCGAGGUGCCGAUACUUAGCCAUCAGAGCAAAUGUGAGGCUCUGAUGAGUAAGAGGGCGUGGGGGUUGUGCAGAAGCCGUUGGCGUGAGCCUCGGUGGAACAGCUUCCAGUGUAGAUCUUGGUGGUAGUAGCAAAUAUUCAAAUGAGAACUUUGAAGACCGAAGUGGGGAAGGGUUCCGUGAGAACAGCAAUUGGUCACGGGUUAUUCGAUCCUAAGGCAUAGGGAAGUUCCUUGUAAUACAAGAGCGCUUCGCUCGUUGCCAAAAGGGAAUGCGGUUAACAUUCCGCAAACUGAACGUGGAUAAAGUGUGGCAACACAAGUGAGCUCGAAGACGUCGGCUCGGACCCCUGGAAGAGUUAUCUUUUCUUUUUAACGGGUUGUCGCCCUGAAAAUGGAUUAUCCAGAGCUAGGGCUUCAUACUCGGCAGAGCAGCACACUCUAAGUGCUGUCAGGUGCGUUCGGGACGAUCCAUGAAAAUUCGAGUAAGAGAUUUAUUCGCACGUCAGGUCGUACCAAUAACCGCAUCAGGUCUCCAAGGUU
rnacentral:rRNA from 1 species